GUCCACGGCCAUACCACCCUGAACGUGCCCAAUCUCUUUUGAUCUUGGAAGCUAAGCAGGGUCGGGCCUGGUUAGUAUUUGGAUGGGAGGCCACCUGGAAUCCCGGGUUCUGUAGGCU
rnacentral:rRNA from 1 species